UGAAGCUGGAAUUGCUAGUAAUGGCAGGUCAGCAUACUGCCGUGAAUACGUUCCCGGGCCCUUGUACACACCGCCCGUCACACCAUGAGAGUUGGGAAUACCCGAAGCCUGUGAGCUAACUUAUAGAGGCAGCAGUCGAAGGUAGAAUCAAUGAUUGGGGUGAAGUCGUAACAAGGUAGC
rnacentral:rRNA from 1 species